GCGCGGGUGGCGGAAUGGCAGACGCGCUAGCUUGAGGUGCUAGUGCCCUUAUUGGGCGUGGGGGUUCAAGUCCCCCUCCGCGCACCA
rnacentral:tRNA from 1 species